GGUGAGAUGAGCAAAACAGAAUGCAACUUUCAAGGUUCAUUUCGAGCAGUUGGCUUGUGGGAAUCUGAGAGCUUCUGCUGCCCAUGACAUGUUGGAAUUAUCAUGAUCAACUACCCGGUUUGGAUUUCACCCAGUGGCCAAGUGAUUUGCUUGGUAGACAGCAAGGGUUGGAUUUUUAAAAAGAGUAAACCAGGCUGGCUGAAGGGGAAAGGGCUCUUCGAUUUUCAAAUAAAGUGCUUUCCGACGAUAAUUGAGAAGAACUGAGAGAUACGUGGCGAGGUUAGGAUGUCAUUCCUGUUUCUUGGCUGGAGCCAGUGGAAGGACAAUCUGGGGUGAUACCACGGUAUCU